rnacentral:tRNA from 1 species
GGAUGAAUAGCUCAACGGCAGAGCAGCGCUUUGUUAAAGCGUUGGUUGAAAGUUCAAAUCUUUCUUUAUCCG